AUAACAAAGUCGGCACAGGUUUGAAGGUAGACAGUGUGUGCACGUGCGUGUGUGUGUGUGUGUGUGUGUGUCAGGCACGUGGCGGCCGCUCUCAUUUCCGGGAGUGUCCACACCGUCUGGUCCCUGAAGAUGAACGAUGCUUCUUGUUUGUGGGGGGAGGAGGAGUCUUCAAGGUUAAGCUCUUGGGACCUGGGCAGAGGGCAAAAGCACUCAGUCCCCUGGCAUGUCCCGACUGAGACGGACGUGGGACGGAUGUCUGUGAGAGAUAUGAAAGAAAAACGGUGGACGAGAGAGAGGAUGCGGUGGUGGUGUGUCUGCGAGAUUGAAUGUUCAAUAUGUUCACAUGCCUAUGGUGAUGAUGAUGAUGGUUUCUUCUGGUUUUUAAAUAAAACUUGAUCCUGUAUGCCUGCUGAGGUGUUUUUCUUUGGGGUGAGGGGUGCAGAAGAGAGUCGUCAUGCUAAUCGCUCUGUCUGGCUGUCUGGUCGCCACUGCAGCUCAUCUAUAAAUGACCUUUAUCGCAUCAGCAGCAGAAGUGCCGGGAUUAUCAGUUAUUCCCACACCAGUCUCUUUUGGUAUGCGAUUAACAAUCAUUUAAUUCUUGAUUUGAAAAAAAGAAAAUCUUGAAUUCGGGAAUCAUUUUUGAUAUUUUGCAAAGAUUUUGUCUUAAAUGAAGGUAAAACAUGCAGCCGUUUUUUCUAGUGCCGCCCUUCAUAGAAGAUCCCAGCACCUGCACUACUAUGAAACAAGUCUGCUUGGAUCUAUCCUCAUGUAUCCACUAAUUUUAAGUCUAAUCUAGUAACGUAAAAUCUGUCUGAUGCAUAGCCAAAAAAGUCGAGCGACAUAUUGAACCAAAAUAUGCUAACACCUUCAUUUACACAAAAACGAUUUCUAUGAAUAGACUUCAUUACCUCUUGAAGACCAGUCUUUGCUGUUAGAAGAACAUGCGGCUUGCAGAUGAUUGUGUUUAAAGGCGUCCAUGUUUAUACGUAUCGUCAUGUUGUUUUUGAGCAGAAAUGACAUUGAACUCCAGACGGAUGGUAGUUUUAGGGGGUCUGGUUGGCACGGAGCUGUGGGCUCCUUCCUGUUUUAAGGAUGUGAACUCAUUAAGUCUAACGCCUGGCUUUGUUCUUUAUCUCCCUGGAGUGUUUAACUUUUGAAAACCUAAUUUUGCUAAAUUACCUACAUUAGAAAUAUAGUUUCAAAACAAUUGUUUUCCCCCAUUGCUCUCUCUGUCACUCUCUGUGUGUCUCUCUCUCUCUCUUUCCCUCUCUCUAAUUAUAUUUUUCCCCUGCUUGGUUUCACUCUGAACAAUGGCCGAUGCCAACUAAUCAGGCUGGGUCUGUGCCACAAAGCUCCCAGCAACAGCUGAAGCUUUGCCAUGCUCUGUGCAUACCAAGCAGUCAGCCACAACCGGCGAGCGCCAGCCUGGUGCCCAACGCGAGGUCAGACAGUUUUAUUAGGAUCCGUCUGACACUCGGCAAAGGCUGGCAGUGCCAAUGCACAGAUAAAAUCUUGUGUGCUGCUCACACUAUUCAUCUGAGCUAGCACAUAAAUACUCCCUCAUCCCACACGCUCUCACACACACAGACCGUUUCAUCAGCUAGAUGAGAAAAGGAACAAAGACUUGGAUCCAGCCAGGAACAAAGAUUUUGUUAUUUAAUAAACGGACGACUUCUGAAUGGUCCAGCAAGCAUCAGGGUCUGAUGUCUCAGCCUCAUUGGCAUGGUUUCAUAUUUACAUUUUUGGCUGACAGCACAUUGGACUGAGUUUCAUUUGUGUGCAUCAGAGCAAAAAAUGGUUCGUUUUCUGGCUGAUAAGUCUGACCAGCAUUUUCAAACAGACACAGGCAUCCGGAAAGAUAGCCAGGCAUGCAAACAAUGAAUGAAUGAAUUUGAAAUAGUUUAAUAUUUUAUUAAUAUUUAUAAAUAUUUAUUUAUAGUUUAAUAAAUUGUCUGGCUGUCAGAUUAGCUUAAAAAUAAAACGGAUGGACUGAGAAAAGUUUAUUCAUAGACUGAUAAAAUAACUUUAUGAAUAAUGAAAUAUAUAAUAGCUAUAAUUCUCAUAAAUUGUGCAUAAACCUUCUUAAUUGACUUAAUAAGAAAAGUACAUUUAUUUUUGAAGUAAAACUAUUUUGUUUUAUCUGAAUGGACAACAAGAAUGUUUGCAGUUUAAUUUAAAUUAAAAAUUCUUGUACUUAUAACAUGAAAUGUGUAUUAUAUCAAAGUACACAGACAGCAGUAAAUCAAACAUUUUGAAAUAUAAAACAUACCUAACCUGAUAUCGCAUCGUUUAGUUCACCCAAGAAUCACGGAGUCGUCCUUGUUAUAGACCGCAUGAAAGAUUCCCUUGAUAAAUGUCAGGAGAUAAAGACCGGUCACUGAGGAAUUAAAAGGCCCGCUGAUGGUGUGUGAGUGUGUGUGUUCUCGCUAACCGCAUGCGGUUUAAAUAAACUGAACAUUUGUCUGGGAUAAAGCUACUGAAAGUAGAUUAAGCAAUAAGAGCUCAGGCAGGAGAAGCUGCAGGAGCCAGGUGAAUUUACAGGAUUACAGGAAUCUUUCUUCCAUUGGUUGUCAGGGAUUGUUGUGGUGCAUGCUAUCAGUGCAGGUCAGAGGAAACAGUGGGUCCUUCUCACUGCUCACUGCAGGUACAAAUAACAGGUGCAAACACACAGAGCCUCACAAUGUCUGCGUACAUCCAGAUGCUGCCACUGACACAGAAUGCACUUGUUCAUUGUGCAGAAUAUAUUGAUGAGCAUAAUGAUGACAAACAUUCAUUUUCCUAUAUACUCAAAUUCUACUUUAGUGCUCAAAAGUACUGAACAGGCAUUGAUCAUCUUUGCUGUACGUGAAAUUUUGAUUUCUAAUUUCACUUUACAAAUACAGAAUUUGAAGAUUCUAUUGUAAAUGCUAUUCCAGUUAUCAUAUCGGUUAUUGGCCAUAACAACAAAUAUUUUGGUAAAACAGAUCAAGUCUCAAAUCUGUUUCAUAUUACUUGCAUUACGCAUAUUACUCCCUGCUAAAUUUGUUCAUUCAGAAUAUUACUGCAUGUUAAUCAAAGCUUGUUUUAUCAUUAUUUGUUGUCACCCUUUUAUUAAAGCAAUAAGCCACUGGAGGCCACGUAUUAGUCAUUUUAUUAUAGUCAUGUCAUAUUGAGCCUAUUAAGAAAUCAUUUUACCCACUGUUAACACUAGUGAGAAAUAAAUAAAUAUACUAAAAUGUAUUUGAAAUACAUUUAUUUCAUGCUAAGUAUAUUACAAAUAUAUUUACCUAUUUAUGUACUUAAUAAAAUUACCCUUAAGUUGUACUUUUAAUAUACUAAAUUGGUAUAUUUAAAAGAGCCAUUGCGGUUUCCGCAAAGAUCCUUUCUCUGGGAAAGGACUUUUUCUCAGUUUGAAGAACAUUUUAAUAAUCAACCUUUUCACUUUUCAACCCUUUUGUCCAAUGAAAAGGUUCCGAGGAUGUUACAGGUUCUUCAUGAAACCAUCAAUACCAAUAAAGAAUCUUUAUUUGUGAGAGUGUAGAAUCACCUUAUUUGUGUAUGAUUGUGUUGUUUUGAUGGUUAGUUCAAAACUCAGUGGGAUCAGAAUCUCAAAAUGUGCUUUGAUGUGUCAGAUUGGUAUACUUCAUCAUUGUCACUAAUCGUAUGAAAACUGAUUCUAAACUUGAAACUUGCAUCAAACUUCAAAAGACAUAUUAAAGAAGUACAGAUGAUUGUGUGUGUUUUUGCCAGGUGUCCCUUUAGUUGAUAACAAUCAUAUUUCAAAAAAGUGCAUGUCUACUUUGUGGUCCAAGGGUUAAAGCUUCGAUAAUAUCUGUCUGCUGGGGGGUUUGAUUAGGUCAGACAGAGAUAUUACAAGAAUUUGAAUAGAAAACCAGAAGUAAUUUUGAAAAUGUCAUUAUUUUAUACAUACAGUACAUCUCUGGGACCCCAAACGUAAAGAAAGCAGAUCAAUCUCAGCCGAGUGUAA
ensembl:lncRNA